UGUAGGUGUCACCAUGAUUCCUAGCAUAUAGAUGGGUGCAAAUACGAAACUAAGACACGUGGUCAGUUGCUGAAGAAAUUCCGGUGAAAACAUGCAGGGUCUAGCAAAAGGUCUGUAGCUGUGAGGGAAGGUGGAUGGCCCCAUAUGAGAGAUGUGUUUCAUCUCUUCUGAAUUGUGAUCCAGAUCUCCUCUGCUGGGGAGGUUACAAAAUUGUGAACAGGGGUCACAACCUGACCUUCAACCAUUUUCACCUUGAACUUUCUAAGCAAAGCCACCAGUCCAAUUGUGACCUCAGCGUAAGCAAAUUUGUACCCAGGACAGAUUCUCUUGCCAGCGAAUCCGAACGGCUGGAAAGCAAGCCCUGGUCUGGACUUUGUGUUUUCUGGACUAAAUCGAUCUGGAUCAAACCUGUGAAGAUAGAGACAGCAAUUAGAAACUAACAUUCACUGAUGGAAAUAUUGACUGGGUUAAUACAUAUUUCUACAGCUGAUACAAUGUGAUUAAAUCAUGAUAUUACCUGUUAUAAACAUUUACCUGGAUAUCAUGCCACAACUUUUCAAAACAGUUCAAUCAAACAAGGUGUGUCAAUAAUAAAAGAAAAAAUGAAAAUGAAGUGACCUUAAACUUUCCAGAUUUAGCUUUUUCAAUGUGCAAAAAUAAAGAACAUUAAAAACCAU